CCUACGGGAGGCAGCAGUGGGGAAUCUUGGACAAUGGGCGAAAGCCUGAUCCAGCGACGCCGCGUGGAGGAAGAAGUCCUUCGGGAUGUAAACUUCUGAACUAGCCGAAUAAAAGGCCUGUGGACACACAGGAGAAGAAAGUAGGCUAGGAAAAGUCCCGGCUAACUACGUGCCAGCAGCCGCGGUAAUA
rnacentral:rRNA from 1 species